CGCCGGAGCCAUGGACCCCGCGGGGCAGCUGUUUCAGGAGCCAUCGCUCUACACAGUCAAGGCCGUUUUCAUCUUGGACAAUGAUGGGCAGCGACUCUUGGCCAAGUACUAUGAUGACACCUUUCCAUCUAUGAAGGAACAGAAGGCCUUUGAGAAGAAUGUAUUCAACAAAACCCACAAAACUGACAGUGAGAUUGCCUUUCUGGAGGGACUAACCAUUGUCUAUAAAAGCAGCAUUGACCUCUUUUUCUAUGUGGUGGGAAGUUCCCAUGAAAAUGAGCUGAUGCUGAUGGCUGUUCUCACCUGUCUCUUUGACUCUCUCAAUCACAUGCUACGGAAGAAUGUGGAGAAGCGCUCCCUCUUGGACAACAUGGACGGGGCCUUCCUGGUGGUGGAUGAGAUUGUUGAUGGCGGGGUGAUUCUGGAGAGUGAUCCACAGCAAGUGAUCCAGAAUGUGAACUUCAGGACAAUCUCAGAGCCCGCUGCAUACGGGUUUGUUCUCUUUGAUUACAUCGCUGGUAGGUCAGAGCAGAGUGAAUCUGUACCUCCCAGGUGCUAACUAGGCUACAGUCAGCUGUGAACCAGGUGGAUGACAGCCCUCUCUCUGAGCAAAGUGUUGCCCAGGUUCUGCAAUCUGCCAAAGAGCAAAUUAAAUGGUCCUUAUUAAAGUGAAAGACCCAGAGGACAGCGCCUGGAUAUUUCCGAUUGGAUGGGUCUAAACUACGGCUACAAAUGAUUCCUCGGCUGAUUUGAUUAGCCAUUUUCUAAUUGGCACAAUAGGUCUGACAGAAGAUUUGGGGUAGGAUGCAAGAUGGCCAACAUCAGCGGUGCCGCCCAAGAGAACUCUAAGCUUCCAUGGACACGUCCACCCAGCUGGCUUCACCCCAGUCUCAGUGACAUGAAAUUUGCAAGCUAACAGGGGAGGAGAGUUUGGGAAAAUUAACCAAUAAAUGGGCCAGAUUCUACUCCUGUACCAGCGCAAAUCUGGAGUGACUUCAGUGCAGAAGUUUCAGAUUUACUUUGGUAUGACUGAGAGUAGAAUCUGGCCUGAGAAUCUUAAGGAACUGUAUAAUUGCUGGGUAUUGCAGCCAGUAAUUAUUUAAGGAAUGAAUAAGAUGAUUGAUUACUGGUAUUUUCAACACCUGAAGGCUUUCUUGGAAGAGUCAGGUAGCAGCUGAAGUAGAGUAGACUGGUUUUGAAUCUUCCCUUUUGUCAGUAUUGUGGACUAAAGAACUGUCCCCUUUCUUUUCCGCACCAAUAACUCCCAUUCAUGGUACAGACCAAAGCCUGAGCAUUCAUUGAGAGGCUGGGCCCCUUAAACAUAGGCCGAGACUUCCAAAACUGUGUAAGGGAUUUGCUUGCCCAUUUCUCACUAAAAUGAAUGGGACAUGGGCUCCUUAGAAUUAUAUUGGCUGCUUCCAAAAUAAGCCAAGAGCCAGAGCUUUGACUAUAGUAGGUGACAUUCACCCUAUGUGGAGGUCAGCAUCCAUCCCACUCAAAUGCCUUGAAAGGAACAAAAUAGGGAUGAAUGGGCAUGGAUGACUGUUUUCCCAUUAGGCUGAUAUUUGGAAUAUCAAAGCAUAUCAAUCAUACAGUGGAAAAUAAUGCAGCCCAGGCUGCAAUUAAUUAUGUAAACUCAAGCUUGCUAACCCUGGUUGUCGUCCCAUAUAUUAUUAAAGGUCCUUGCUGUGUUAAGAAUCCUUUCCUCAAAACAAAUCACUACCUUUCCUUUGUCAGCGCCCCAGAUUCUAAAUAUCGAAAAAAAAAUUAAAUUCUAAUGAAGGAGA